rnacentral:misc_RNA from 1 species
GUGUGGUUCGCUGCUCGAGAACGUUUAUUUCAUGCCGUCGGACGCUUUUGACAUUGAGGCGUUGGCGUUUGUUCGCGGAUUGCUCAUCAGUGCUCGCCAAUAUUGCUUUGCGGCAAUGCAGGCACACUUUUUCAAUUGAUGUAUUGAGGCCUGAGGCAUAUUUGUGUAUACAGUAUGUGUGUAUCGAAGUGACUGACAGCGGAGAAAACCAGCGACGGUCAACAAGAGUGACCAAACAUUCAAGUAGCUGCGGAAUGCCAACGAAUACAAGUGGUUGCGGCUGCUCGUUGGUGCUCAGCGGCAAGCUCGCGGCUCUGGUUGGGUUUAGUAUAGAACGAAGUGUGCUCACAGUCGCAAGUAUUUACAUACAAUCGUGUUUUAUCGUCACUGUUUCGGUUGUAGAGCGAAUAUAUCGGUUUGACGCUAUCCAAUUAUGGUUCAGCCACAACAAAAGCUGCCCAUCGUUCCGCAGCCAACUUACUUUGCUGUAGGUCCCCAGCCGCAUGAGGUCACCUGUCCCUAUUGUAAGGCGACGGCUAAGACCGUGAUGCAGCGUCCAAUACUGCGCUGCUUCAGUCGACGUCAUUACUGUUCCGAGUGCGGCGAAUAUUUGGGCACAUAUCGGCGGCCGCAACUUUGAGUUGAUUUCUUGCCAUCUAUUGGAUUGUAAACAACCAAACUAUAUAUUUAUGUAUAUGUGUAACUUUUUAUAUUUAUAUACAAUAUAACAUGUUCUUGCAUACUCUUAAGUUUUUCUCGAUAUAUAACACAAUUUUCUGACUAUACAUUCUAAAUCAUAAUGAAUAAAUGUAAACAAAAAUCGCA